AAAUUUCUAUCAUCCAGGGGCCACAAAUGGCCCCCAAGCCGCAUGUUGGAAACCCCUGAUGUACAUGUUGUGUCUCUUCUAUUUCAUUUCCUUCAAAGUUAAUUAUUCAUGUUUGAUCUCGUUUGGUUUUUGUUUAAUUCCUUGUGUUUUUGCCCAGUCCUGGUCUGAGGCUGGUUUGGUUUCCUCUGGUGCUGCUCAGCGCCUCCCACCGCUGACUGAUCCUGAUCCCGGCCCAGACUCACGAAGGGAAGGAAUCCAGCUCAGAGAUCUGCUGACUCCGCGCCGUUUGAGAUUCGCUCAAAGAGCGACGAGCGGCCUGGCAGCUCCUCCAGACUGCCGGUGAAGAGAGAGAAGAAGAGACGGCCGUUCAUCAUCAGGCUGAGUUUAAGCUGCUAUCGCUGCUUAAACGUCUCCGUUCAAUGUUCAGAGAAACGAGGCUCAUUUAGCUGCACUGCUAGCCUGUUACAGGUCUGAGCCUCAUGUGGAGAAAAAUCUGUAAAUUAAUCAGAACUACAACUCGUUUAUGCAGAUUAACUCUUUUUUAUGUCACAUUGCUGUCAGACGGGGUGAAUCUGAUCUUUAGUGGCUCACAGAUAUUUCCACACCAAAGAAAAUAACUAAUUUUAAAGCUUUAGAGAAUAAAAUCAUGAUUGUAACGCUGUAAAACCAAACAUUGCAACUAAACCUUUAAUUUAUGA